CAUCCAUGAACCACAAGUUGUGUAGAAAAUAGUCCAAAGAGUAUAUCAUUUGGACAAAGUAAAGACAUUAAAUCUGCAAGGCUCUUAUCUUUUAGCAAUAAUUGUUGUUAAGAGAAAUGGCUUAUGCUGCUCUUUCUUCACUUAUGGAUACAUUAGAACAACUCUUCAAACCUAACCAAUCUUUUGUUUGUCGAAGUUGUACACAACAACAUGUCGAAUCUCUCCAUCAAAAUCUUUCUGCUCUGCAAGAUUUUCUUGACGUUACCACAAAGGGUAUUGAAACUCUUAAGUUAAUAGAAAAGAGGAUCAGAGAUGUAAUAUACAAAGCAGAAGAUAAAGUUGAUUCAAGUCUAAGAAGCAUCAUUCUAGCUGAUUGCACAGAGAGUAGAGAAGGGGCUUGUAAGUUGUUUGAGGAAGAAUUGGUACUAGUGGAAAAAGAUGUUGAUUCUCUAAGGAAAGAGGUGAUGCAGAUGGAGUUUAACAAGCAUGGAACAAGAUCUGCAACAACUCCAUCCUCACCACAAAAAAGUAGAAUUGAUGAAGAAAAUACUAUUAUUGGGAUGGACGAUGAAUUCAACACCAUACUUGAUCGCCUCACUACCCAAACAAACGAGUUAACUGUCAUACCAAUUUUUGGUAUGGGCGGUAUCGGUAAGACAACUCUUGCCAAAAGAGUUUAUGAUGAUUCAUAUAUUCGCUCUCGAUUUGAUAAACAUGCAUGGGUUACUAUCUCUGAAGAUUUCAACCAGAGAAAUGCUUCUUGAAGUUGCCUCUUCAAUUACCGAAAGCAAUCAAGAAAAGAGCGAUGAUCAACUAAUGGAGAUUGUUUAUAAAGGUCUCAAGGGUAGGAGAUUCUAAUUGUCAUAGAUGAUAUUUGGAGUACUGAAGCAUGGGACCAAAUGCAAAGACUAUUCCCAAAUGAUAAGAAUAAAAGCAGAAUUCUAUUAACCACUCGUCUCAAGUAUGUUGCCGAUUAUGUCAGCUGUCAUGAGUUUCCACCUCAUUGUAAGUCUUUUCUUAGUGUAGAUGAUAGUUGGAAUCUAUUCACCGAAAAAUUAUUCAAAAAAGAUUCAUGUCCUCGUCAACUUGUAAAACUUGGGAAGCACAUUGUACAACAAUGUCAAGGAUUACCUCUCUCCAUUAUUGUCGUCGCUGGACUUCUUGUGAAAAUGGACUUAACGCGUGACAACUGGAAGAAGGUUGAGGAAAAUCUGAACUCAUUCUUUGGUACGGUGUCCGAACGGUGCCAAUCAAUUCUUUCUCUGAGCUACAAUUACUUGCCCCAAUAUUUGAGGGCUUGUUUUCUCUAUGUUGGAGGUUUUCCUGAAGAUACGGAGAUUGGUGUUUCCAAGUUGAUUAGGCUGUGGAUUGCUGAGCAAUUCAUAAAGGCAAGAAGCAAUAAAAGGUUAGAAGUGGUGGCAGAGGAGUAUCUACAAGAGUUAAUUGAUAGAAGUCUAAUUUUGGCUGGUAAACAAAGGGCUAAUGGAAGGAUGAGAAGUUGCAAAAUUCAUGAUCUUCUUCGCCAACUAUGCCUAAGUGAAGCUCAUACUGAAAAUGUUGUGCAUGUCAUGAAUGGGAAUGUUGUCGAAGCCAUAGAUGAUCAACGUCGAAUGAUCCUUCUGUCUGAAGUUGAAGAGAAGCAUGAUUAUUAUAGUAUGAUGCAACAUAGCAGUGAUAUAGUUCGCACCUUUAUUUCAAUGCAAGUAGAUUUUCCAACACGGAUUGUUUCACAGUUCAAGUUGCUUAAGGUAUUGGAUGUAUUAUCAAUUGAUUACGACUUCUCUAGUGUAAUAUCUGAGCUUGUACAAUUGAGAUAUGUUGCUGCAAGAAUUAGGGAAGCUGUUUCACUAGCCAAAUUGAGAAAUCUACAAACCAUAAUUCUUCAAAGUCUUGAAAGGAAAGAGUUGGAGCAGGCAAUAGAUAUCUGGAGAAUGACAGAGCUAAGGCACGUGGAUAUCAGAUCGCCACUAUAUAUAUAUCUAAUCCUCUUGAGGCAGAAAAUCCUUUGUUUCUGAAUAACUUGCAAACACUUUUUCUCCAUUAUUCACCUUUUGUUGCGGAAAUCAUAAGAAGAAUUCCCAAUCUAAAAAAGCUAAAGAUUGUAGAUGAUUCUGAGAAUCUUGAUUGGCCUGCUAUUCUUGAUUCUCUCAGUCUUAUACAGGAUCUGGAGACACUACAAAUAAAAACCAUGAAAUGGAUGGUUUUCUCUGGGGAAAAUUUCCCUCCUAAUCUCAAGCAACUGAAAUUAACACAUACUUAUAUACCAUGGGAAGUUGUGAAAUUGCUCGCUAAUUUACCCAAUCUUGAGGUGCUCAAAGGGUAUCAUGCAUUUGAUGGAACAUAUUGGAAAUUAGAUGAAGAUAUUGUGUUUCACAAAUUAAAAUAUCUACUACUGAGUGGGUGCUAUUAUCUCAAAAGGUGGGAAGCGGAACCUGCCAUUUUUCCGAUGCUUGAGCAACUAAUACUGGAUAAUUUUUCUGCUAUGAAGGAGAUUCCGGAGAGUAUUGGAGAAAUAAUGACACUAAAAUUCAUCCGAAUAAUAUGGUGCAGCUCCGGUGUAGAGAAAAGUGCAAGGAAGAUCCAAGAAGAGCAAGAAAGCUUUGGAAAUUAUGAGCUUCAACUUCAAAUUACUCCUAAGUUUUGGUGAUUGCGUAAAAGCAAUGGAAGAUGAAGAGAGACAAGGGUACUUGAAGGAAGCUGGUGAUGAUUAUAUAUUUCGACAUCUUCUCAAUUUGGUAAAGCAGAUAAAAUCGUCAUUUUAUAUUCGCCGGGAAGAUCUAGGGCUCUACAUAUAGAGGGUUGGUUAAUGCCACUUUUAGCUAUCUCUGUGUUCUUGCUUACAACAUGACACCAAUAUAAUUAGUUAGAGGUGGAGCUGUUUCACCAACUGAGCAAGCCUCACUCGUCUUGUCAAAUAUAUUCAUAUUUUGUUAUUUAAUCAAUUCCUGUUUUUUUUUUAAUGUUUUGCGAACAAUUUUUCCAGCUGGGAUAAGAAAUUUUUACGUAAUAGGGAGAUAGUGAAGGUACCAUUUGUUGGACGUAUGAUUGAGGUAUCUUGUAGAGCUUUGAUGCUCUUAACGCAUGUUUUAAUGAGGUUUGGAAAAUAUCCCUCCAUGUAAAUGGCAGUGAUUUGUUUUUAAGUGUUUCAA